CCUACACUGGUGUAAAGCGGGUCCAGGCAGCCUCAUCAUCACUUCCGAGGCCGAUAAUGCAUCAGAAAACAGACUCGUACCGAAUGCAGGGAUAACUAAAAAUUAUUAUGGAAAACUGGCUAAAAAUCGUUUUUCUCUUCGUUGGAUUUCACUUGAAACUAGCCAACUCUCUCCCCGAAGUGAUAAGGAUUGGAGGUUUAUUUCAUCCUGCGGAUGACAAACAAGAAAUAGCAUUUAAAUAUGCAGUUGAGCGCAUAAAUGCUGAUAGGACGAUUUUGCCUAGAUCCCGCCUUUCUGCACAAAUUGAGAAAAUCUCUCCACAAGACAGUUUCCAUGCUUCAAAAAGAGUUUGCCAUUUGCUGCGGAGUGGGGUUGCCGCAAUAUUCGGCCCUCAGUCCUCGCAGACGGCGAGCCAUGUUCAGUCUAUCUGCGAUACUAUGGAGAUCCCACACCUAGAAACGAGGUGGGACUACAGGUUGCGCAGGGAGAGCUGUUUGGUCAAUCUUUACCCCCAUCCAACCAUUUUGUCCAAGGCCUAUGUUCAGCUUGUUGAAGCCUUCGGAUGGAAAUCCUUCACAAUUAUUUAUGAAAGCAACGAAGGACUGGUGAGGCUGCAGGAAUUACUAAAAGCCCAUGGCCCUUCUGACUUUCCCAUUGCCGUAAGGCAACUUCCUGAAGGAAAUGAUUACAGGCCAUUACUAAAGCAAAUAAAAAAUUCAGCAGAAUCUCAUAUAGUCCUAGAUUGCUCCACAGAUAAAAUAUAUAAUGUCUUAAAACAAGCUCAACAAAUAGGAAUGAUGAGUGAUUACCACAGCUAUUUAAUUACUUCACUUGAUUUACAAAGUGUAGAUUUAGAAGAGUUCAAAUACGGUGGCACUAACAUUACUGCACUUCGGUUAGUUGACCCUACAAACGAUGAAGUACAACGAAUAGUUAAAGACUGGAUAGCUUCGGAACAACGCCAAGGAAGGAAACUUGAUAUUAAUACACCCGACCUCAUCCCUGCAGAGACAGCCUUGAUGUACGAUGCAGUUCAUUUAUUUGCAAAAGCCCUUCAUGAUCUUGACAGUAGUCAGAGGAUUGAUAUUAAACCUCUGAGCUGUGAUGCAUUGGACACUUGGCCUCAUGGCUACAGCUUAAUAAAUUAUAUGAAAAUCGUUGAAAUGCGAGGGCUGACUGGAGUUAUCAAAUUUGACAAUCAAGGAUUCCGAUCCAAUUUUGAAUUAGAUAUUAUAGAAUUGACGAAAACAGGACUUCAGAAAAUUGGUUCGUGGAACUCAACUGAGGGUAUCAAUUUUACGAGAACUUACAAUGAAAUGAUCCACCAGAUCGUGGAAAAUCUGUCAAACAAAACAAUGAUAGUGACAACAAUUUUGAGUGCACCAUAUUGCAUGAGAAAAGAUUCAAGCGAUAAACUAGUAGGCAAUGCUCAGUACGAGGGCUACAGUGUCGACCUGAUAUACGAAAUAUCUAGAAUACUUCAUUUUAACUAUCAAAUCGUACUAGUUCCAGAUGGUCGAUAUGGCUCGUUUAACAAAGAAACUCGAGAAUGGGAUGGAAUGAUCAGAGAACUUCUAGAUCAGAGAGCAGAUUUAGCAAUAGCUGAUUUGACAAUUACUUAUGAAAGAGAGCAAGCUGUAGAUUUCACCAUGCCAUUUAUGAAUCUUGGAAUAAGCAUUUUAUACAGAAAACCAAUUAAACAGCCUCCAAAUUUGUUUUCAUUCUUGUCCCCAUUGUCAUUGGAUGUAUGGAUUUACAUGGCAACAGCUUAUCUUGGAGUUUCUGUUUUGCUUUUCAUUUUAGCAAGGUUUACACCUUAUGAAUGGCAGAAUCCACAUCCUUGCAAUCCGAACCCAGACCAUUUGGAAAAUCAGUUUACACUCCUCAACUGCAUGUGGUUUGCUAUCGGUUCACUUAUGCAGCAGGGAUGUGACUUCCUCCCCAAAUUCAGUCCUUAUGAAUGGGAAUCUCCACAUCCGUGUCACGAUGACGAAGCCCUUGACAACCAGUUCUCCCUCCUCAACUCAUUGUGGUUUACCAUCGGGUCGCUCAUGCAGCAAGGAUCUGAUAUUGCUCCAAAAGCAGUUUCGACUAGAAUGGUGGCUGGUAUGUGGUGGUUCUUCACGCUCAUAAUGAUCUCAUCUUAUACAGCUAACUUGGCUGCAUUCCUAACUGUUGAAAGGAUGGAUUCACCAAUUGAAAGUGCUGAAGACUUGGCAAAACAGACAAAAAUAAAAUAUGGCGCACUUGGCGGCGGUUCAACUGUCGCUUUUUUUCGGGAUUCCAACUUUUCCACUUAUCAAAGGAUGUGGUCUUUCAUGGAAUCAGCAAGGCCGAUUGUUUUCACCAGUUCCAAUUCAGAUGGAGUGGACAGGGUGAUAAAAGGCAAAGGGAAUUAUGCUUUUCUGAUGGAAUCGACAAGUAUAGAAUAUGUUAUCGAAAGAAACUGCGAUUUGACACAGAUUGGAGGUCUUCUUGACUCUAAAGGCUAUGGGAUUGCAAUGCCACCAAAUUCACCAUAUAGGACAGCUAUUAGUGGAGCUGUAUUGAAGCUUCAAGAAGAAGGAAAACUUCAUAUGCUGAAGACUCGUUGGUGGAAGGAAAAACGUGGUGGAGGUGCUUGCAGGGAUGAAACUUUGAAAACAAGCAGUGCUGCAAAUGAGCUGAGUCUGGCGAAUGUUGGUGGUGUUUUUGUAGUGUUGAUGGGCGGCAUGGGCGUUGCCUGUGUUAUAGCAGUGUGUGAAUUCGUAUGGAAGUCACGGAAAGUAGCUGUCGAAGAACGGGUGAGCAGUCCUCUUACUUGACCACUAACCCCCGACUUGGGCGACACCCCCAAUUGAACCAAUUUCAAUGUUUCAAAUAAUAAAUUUUUAAUGAUAUUCAAAUUUACAUAAUUGUUUGUUCUUGAAGUUUAAUUUGUGCUCAAAUUUUAUGUCGAUAAAUGACAAUAUCAAAUACUGUGAAAACUAUACUACUUGUUAGUUUAUUGUUUGGACUGGAACUGUUGUCUAGCUGGUGUAUAUUUGCAAUUUUUAUAUAUAUCAUUUUUUAAGUUAUACUCAUUUUUUAUGAAUGUUACCAAUUUCAAAAUUUAAUUAUAAAACCUGUUUUAAAAUAUUUUUAUUUGUGAAAUUUAAUGGAUAAGUGUAUUGCGUCUUUCUGUUUGUGCUUACGGGGUAUUAAUUAGGAGACACCUUUGUGUUCUGAAACCCCAUCAGACAUUAAAGAGAUAAAGUCAUUUGGUGAUUCGGGCCUGCAAGUGCAGACAGCAGACGCC